rnacentral:rRNA from 1 species
CCUACGGGGAGCAGCAGUGGGGAAUAUUGGACAAUGGGGGGAACCCUGAUCCAGCGACGCCGCGUGAGUGAAGAAGGAGGGAGGGAGGGAAAGCUCUAUCAGCAGGGAAGAAAAUGACGGUACCUGACUAAGAAGCCCCGGCUAACUACGUGCCAGCAGCCGCGGUAAUACGUAGGGGGCAAGCGUUAUCCGGAUUUACUGGGUGGAAAGGGAGCGGAGACGGUGCAGCAAGUCUGAUGUGAAAGGUCGGGGCCCAACCCCGGGACUGCAUUGGAAACUGUUGAACUGGAGUACAGGAGAGGUAAGCGGAAUUCCUAGUGUAGCGGUGAAAUGCGUAGAUAUUAGGAGGAACACCAGGUGCGAAGGCGGCUUACUGGACUGUAACUGACGUUGAGGCUCGAAAGCGUGGGGAGCAAACAGGAUUAGAUACCCCAGUAGUC